rnacentral:rRNA from 1 species
CGAACGCUGGCGGCGUGGCUAAAACAUGCAAGUCGCACGGAAAGGCGGCUUCUGACCCUUCGGGUGACGAAGCUGUACUCAAGUGGCGAAAGGGCGAGGAAUACAUGGAUAACGUGCCUUUGGCAUGGGGACAGCUGAGGGAAACUUCAGGUAAUACCCAAUGAGACCACAGUGCUUUCGGGCACAGGGGUCAAAGAUGGGGCUCCUUCGGGACCUAUCGGCCAUAGAGCGGUCCAUGUCCUAUCAGCUUGUUGGUGAGGUAAUGGCUCACCAAGGCGACGACGGGUACCGGGACUGAGAGGUUGACCCGGCGCAUCGGGACUGAGACACUGCCCGGACUCCUACGGGAGGCUGCAGUAACGAAUAUUGGUCAAUGGGCGAAAGCCUGAACCAGCGACGCCGCGUGUGGGAGGAAGCCCUUCGGGGUGUAAACCACUGUCAGGGAUUACCAAGCAAUGGAGGCUAAUACCCUCCUGCGUUGAGGCGUCCCAGAGGAAGUCACGGCUAACUUCGUGCCAGCAGCCGCGGUAAUACGAAGGUGGCGAGCGUUGUUCGGAAUCACUGGGCUUAAAGAGCACGUAGGCGGACUGCCAAGCGUCUUGUGAAAUCCCCCGGCUCAACCGGGGAAUUGCUGGGCGAACUGGUAGUCUUGAGGCAAGUAGGGGCAGAUGGAACUCUUGGUGGAGCGGUGGAAUGCGUAGAUAUCAAGAGGAACGCCAGAGGCGAAGGCGAUCUGCUGGGCUUGACCUGACGCUGAGGUGCGAAAGCCAGGGGAGCAAACGGGAUUAGAUACCCCGGUAGUCCUGGCCAUAAACGAUGUCCACUAG